GGGUUGUGAGGUUAAGCGACUAAGCGUACACGGUGGAUGCCCUGGCAGUCAGAGGCGAUGAAGGACGUGCUAAUCUGCGAUAAGCGUCGGUGAGGUGAUAUGAACCGUUAUAACCGGCGAUUUCCGAAUGGGGAAACCCAGUGUGUUUCGACACACUAUCAUUAACUGAAUCCAUAGGUUAAUGAGGCGAACCGGGGGAACUGAAACAUCUAAGUACCCCGAGGAAAAGAAAUCAACCGAGAUUCCCCCAGUAGCGGCGAGCGAACGGGGAGGAGCCCAGAGCCUGAAUCAGUGUGUGUGUUAGUGGAAGCGUCUGGAAAGGCGCGCGAUACAGGGUGACAGCCCCGUACACAAAAAUGCACAUACUGUGAGCUCGAUGAGUAGGGCGGGACACGUGGUAUCCUGUCUGAAUAUGGGGGGACCAUCCUCCAAGGCUAAAUACUCCUGACUGACCGAUAGUGAACCAGUACCGUGAGGGAAAGGCGAAAAGAACCCCGGCGAGGGGAGUGAAAAAGAACCUGAAACCGUGUACGUACAAGCAGUGGGAGCCUCUUAAUGGGGUGACUGCGUACCUUUUGUAUAAUGGGUCAGCGACUUAUAUUCUGUAGCAAGGUUAACCGAAUAGGGGAGCCGAAGGGAAACCGAGUCUUAACUGGGCGUUAAGUUGCAGGGUAUAGACCCGAAACCCGGUGAUCUAGCCAUGGGCAGGUUGAAGGUUGGGUAACACUAACUGGAGGACCGAACCGACUAAUGUUGAAAAAUUAGCGGAUGACUUGUGGCUGGGGGUGAAAGGCCAAUCAAACCGGGAGAUAGCUGGUUCUCCCCGAAAGCUAUUUAGGUAGCGCCUCGUGAAUUCAUCUCCGGGGGUAGAGCACUGUUUCGGCAAGGGGGUCAUCCCGACUUACCAACCCGAUGCAAACUGCGAAUACCGGAGAAUGUUAUCACGGGAGACACACGGCGGGUGCUAACGUCCGUCGUGAAGAGGGAAACAACCCAGACCGCCAGCUAAGGUCCCAAAGUCAUGGUUAAGUGGGAAACGAUGUGGGAAGGCCCAGACAGCCAGGAUGUUGGCUUAGAAGCAGCCAUCAUUUAAAGAAAGCGUAAUAGCUCACUGGUCGAGUCGGCCUGCGCGGAAGAUGUAACGGGGCUAAACCAUGCACCGAAGCUGCGGCAGCGACACUAUGUGUUGUUGGGUAGGGGAGCGUUCUGUAAGCCUGUGAAGGUGUACUGUGAGGUAUGCUGGAGGUAUCAGAAGUGCGAAUGCUGACAUAAGUAACGAUAAAGCGGGUGAAAAGCCCGCUCGCCGGAAGACCAAGGGUUCCUGUCCAACGUUAAUCGGGGCAGGGUGAGUCGACCCCUAAGGCGAGGCCGAAAGGCGUAGUCGAUGGGAAACAGGUUAAUAUUCCUGUACUUGGUGUUACUGCGAAGGGGGGACGGAGAAGGCUAUGUUGGCCGGGCGACGGUUGU
rnacentral:rRNA from 1 species